CUCGAUUUGAGCGGAUCGACAAAACGCCGAUCCCGGAGGGCAGGGAAGCGGCGGAAGCAGGCAGCAGUCGACAGGUCACUCGUCAACCUCGAGGAGCCGCGUCUCGUGACCGUGUUGGGCGCAAAAGUUAGUUGAGAGCCAGCGGCGUAAACAACAGCCCAUUUUCUCUUGAACAGGGACUUGCAGUGCAGCUGCCCAGGAUGGGAAUGAGCACAUGCCGACGGGAUACGACGUCUACGCCUGGUCUGCUGGUUUAACACUAUAUGAUCUAUGCCAUCACGAGCCGGGUGACGUAGUGUGAUGCUUCCCUGUCCUGGAUCACCGCCCGGAUCUCUACUGUAUUGCGCUCUGCUGCGCCGGCGCGGGGCCACGCGCUUGUCACCACUGGAGCUGGACUCAGGUUCAGCCAUUCGGGAGAUUUUGUCACUCACUCCGCUACAGCAACGAGGCACAGGUGCCUGCCACUGUUGGAACCUGGACGGAAACGUGACCGUGAUACUCACGCGAGUUCACUAAUCACCUUUCCGAUGUGAGGAUGUGCACGAUAAUAUUACUGCGUAGUAGUGCAUGCUGCUCCGUGAAUUUCUUCUGUGGACACGGCGCUCAUUCACCUUGCCGGUUGCAGUUACCACCAGGUUAUACCGCUUAGCGAUUGUCAUCGACGGCUGGCUCUCUGGCGUGGGGCAGUCAGAACUCCAUAGAACUGGUAAGGCUGACCCGCUCAAGGAAAGGACACGAGAGACAAGGCAGCAGCCGCAGAGUCCCAAGACAAAAGCAGACAAGCAUGCCGCUAUCAACGGCGUUGGGUGAGGCGUCCCCGAAGCCACUGCCUUCCCCAGUCGAACCACGUCGUUCAGAUGCUGGAUGGUUGGUUGGCUGCGGUGAUGCACGUGCUGCCGGAGGGCCCGAAAGCUGCCUGGGAGAGGCACGCUGGACGCCUCUACGCUGGUCAUCACAUGCAGUUCCAGUUAAUACUUUUUGGUUCGUCCUCAGUGACCAGACACCUCACAUCGACGGGGCUAUGUUCCGGUAGUGGAUUGUGUCAUGACUUUACAGAUGGAAGACAACCCGUUGGAUUUCUGUUCUCUUGAAAAGUGGGACAGUCUACCUAUUGAAUUCACACGUUCUGUUCUCGUGACGGUGACGCCGCUGUGGAGGCCAAAGUCCACUGAUACGACUUUCAGGAUGACCGUCUUGGACUCAGAAGAUUAUAUUGUGUCGUGGAAACGUGCCCUUGCAGAAAGAGGUUUGGGUUUUGAGGACGACAGCAGACAGCAGGAUGGCCAUGAUUGGUGGAACCAUGCAUCGAUGAGCUUGAUGUACAUUAUCCAUUCUUUAGUGAAUGCCCCUUGAUGGUGCCAGGAUCGACGGGAGCACAGGUAUAUCGACGGUUUACGCGCACGCGCUAUCAUCAGUCCCCUGCUGAGUUUUCCGCCAGUAACGCCCCAAAGUACUCUCCCUUAGGAGGUGAGGCGAAGUCGACAGGGCAUGCAAGUGAGGUCUUCUCCGCUUGGACAGAUGUUGACAGUUUCUGGUCCAUGUUGUCAAGCACAUUGAUAGCGCACACAUGGCCUUUAUCGCUGAUCCGAAUCUCUCGUUUUUCUCUAUCUCCAUCCAUUCUUUCACAGUCGAUGGCCUGCGCAGUUGCACAAUUUCCCCUUUCCUGUACUGGAAGCAUAAUGAAAGGAAUGGAUGAAAACAAGGGCUCAUGCAUACGCUUGCUUGGCCUCCCCUACACGGAAGAUGCACACGGUCUAACGAAUCAACCGAACCACAGAAGCCUUCAGUUGAAUCUCCUGGCCGGGCCCGAAAGUGAUGCUGCCUGCGUGCUGACCGACAUUAUAUACCGGGGAACGACUAAAAUCAUCAGGUUCGCUUCAUGAUGAAGUUGCGAGGAUCCACGGGUUCGGCAUGGUGUUUUCAAACAAUGCCAGAACUGAGACAGAACAAGGCGAUUUACUAACAGAUACUCUCAUGCUGUUACCUUGCCCACCCGAUCAAGCUCUCGAGUUUUUCCGAACAUAUGUGGGAUUCAUGCCCCGAUUAGGCCCUCUCAGGAACGUCAAGGGGAAAGAUCCACGUUCCCCCCCAUCGGCGACCGACGGUAAAAGAAGACGUACGGUCUUCCUUUGUAUCUCGACCCCUCUUCAUGCGAACAAGGUGUUGAUUCGAACGUUGCUUACCCGGCGCAGGAUUACAUGUAUCUGUGGCUCUGACAAUGUCUCGUUCUAACCGUGACUCCGCCAAUAUUGGACCGCGCGAACGGCGGAGUCCCAGCCAAAAUUGAACACGAGUCAUGGCGUGCGAAGAAGCGAUUGCAUUCCCGGUGGAGCUUAUCUUGCUGUUGAGUAACUGAACGUAACAAGAGCUGCCACCGUUGCCCGGUUAACGAACGGAUGCUACGUUUCCGUGACGCAAUUUUCCCCAUCCAGCCUUAUUCAAACCAAGCUCAGCCCCGAUUCCUAAAGCAGCUCUUACAUGUCAACCCCACGGAAAGAAAGACGCUGUACGAAACCAC
rnacentral:lncRNA from 1 species